UUGCUCUGUCGCCCAGGCGUGAGUGCAAUGGCGCGAUCUCGGCUCACUGCAAGCUCUGCCUCCCAGGUUCACGCCAUUCUCCUGCCUCAGCCUCCUAAGUAGCUGGGACUACAGGCGCCGGCCACCAUGCCCGGCUAAUUUUUUGUAUUUUUACUAGAGACAGGGUUUCACCGUGUUAGCCUGGAUGGUCUCGAUCUCCUGGAGGUAAUUUAUUUCUUUGGAUGUUUGGACUAGGAGAUGGGGAGAGGCAGAGCAGAAAGAGAAACACAGAUGCCACAAGGAGGAGGAACAGAGCUAACCCUGGAUAGGACUGGACACAGCAGCCAGACCAAGAGAGGCAUCUAGUGAGAAGCAGCUCUUCAGCCCUGGGCCUGGUGCACACAUCACUCCUUGGUUUCUAAGAACCAAAUUUGGCCCAGCACAGUGGCUCAUGCCUGUAAUCCCAGCACCUUGGGAGGCCAAAGCGGGUAGAUCAUGAGGUCAAGAGAUCAAGACCAUCCUGGCCAACAUGGUGAAACCCCGUCUCUACUAAAAACACACAAAAAAUCAGCUGGGCAUGGUGGUGUGCACCUGUAGUCCUAGCUACUUGGGAAGCUGAGGCAGGAGAAUCACUUGAACCCAGGUGGCAGAGUCCAGUGAGCUGAGAUCACACUACUGCACUCCAGCCUGGCGACAGAGUGAGACUCUGUCAAAAAAAUAAAAGAAAGCCAAAUUCAUACAGUCCCUGAGGAGUGGGAACUGAUGCACAUCUCUUGUAUACAAUAAGCUAUGCUUGUGCUCUGAACAGUGUAAGAUUGAGAAUUGUAUUCCUUUAAAGAAAGUUCGGCAGAACUGUAACUGAAUUACUAACAAGGCACUGAGAAGGCAUACCGUACUUUGUAUGGUAUUUGGCGAAUGGCAUAACACAUCAAAAAAUUGGUUGUAUCAUAUGAUUAAAUUGCAACGUGAUGAUUUCAACUUGGUGGAAGACUUCUGCUUCGUCUUGGUAUGUGAAAAUCCCCUUUGCUUCAAACUUAAUACACACCAAGGAAAACAACCUGAUACAAGUUUGCAAGUGUCUUUGAGCUAAUGGCUUUUCGUGGGUAUUAAAAAGCAUUGGGUUAUUUAUGUAUAAUUACGUAGAAAGAAAAUGUUUGUUCCAUUCAA
rnacentral:lncRNA from 10 species